UUCCAGCUCCAGUAGCGUAUAUUAAAGUUGUUGCAGUUAAGAAGCUCGUAGUUGGAUUUCUGUUCUCGAGGAUCGGUCCGCCUCACGGUGAGCACUGGUUUUUCUUGGGACAUCCUCUCGAAGGCGGGUGUGCACUUAAUUGUGUGCUGCUUGGAUUCGGGACCUUUACUUUGAAAAAAUCAGAGUGUUUCAAGCAGGCAUCAUCGCUCUUGCAUGGAUUAGCAUGGGAUAAUGAAAUAGGACCUUGGUGCUAUUUUGUUGGUUUGCAUUCCAAGGUAAUGAUUAAUAGGGAUAGUUGGGGGUAUUCGUAUUCAAUUGUCAGAGGUGAAGUUCUUGGAUUUAUGGAAGACGAACUACUGCGAAAGCAUUUACCAAGGAUGUUUUCAUCA
rnacentral:rRNA from 1 species